rnacentral:snoRNA from 1 species
UGUAAUGAUGACUGACUAGAGUCUCUGAUACUUCCCAUGAAGUUAAAAAAAUAAGCUCAACA